GCUCAACUCACAGAGUUCGUCUUCGGAUAAUCUAGUUUCCAAAGAGAGAAAAAAGAGUUAUUUAUUUAUAAAUUGCUAUGGUGCUUGAGCUGUGCUAAAGUUUAUUCCGUUGCAUGGUAGAUUUUGUGAUCUAAGAAAGAUGUCCGUUUUCUUUGUGAAUGCAAAUCAAGACAGCGAAGUUGAAGGAGAUUCAAAUGGAGACCUGCAAAUUGCAUCACCUGGGAACUCGGAGGCCCAACAAGCGUUGGCAUCAUUUUGGCCGAAAGUCAUGGAAGAAAUUAAAAAGAUUACCACAAUGGAUUUGAAAACCCAAUCGUUACCACUAGCAAGGAUAAAGAAAAUUAUGAAAUUGGACGGUGACGUUAAAAUGAUCAGUGCCGAAGCACCGAUGUUAUUUUCGAAAGCAGCCGAGAUUUUUAUUCACGAAUUAACGCUGAGAGCUUGGGUUCAUACGGAAGACAAUAAAAGGCGCACCCUUCAAAGAAAUGAUAUAGCAAUGGCAAUAACAAAAUACGAUCAGUUUGAUUUCUUAAUUGAUAUUGUCCCAAGGGACGAACUGAAACAGACGAAGGCACAGUCAGAUGGUACGUCGAGAUCUCCAAUGAAUACGGAUCAGGUUCAUUAUUAUUUUCAACUGGCACAGCAGCAAGCUUCGGCCAAUCAAACUGUACAAAAUAAUAGUACACCUUCCCAGCCAAUACAAAUUGUACAACCUUCUACCGGACAAAUACAAACUAUUAAUAUUGGAAGCCCUAACGAACAGGAAACCUCCAAUGCAGGAGCCACUCAAACAGUAACAGUACAAAGCCCACAGCAGGCAUCGGGUCAGCAAGUUAUUCAACUCCAGCAAGCCCAGCAAUCCCCCGCUUCCCAAGCUGGUGGUAUACAAAUCGUGCAACAAAUUGUGACCCCUAACGGAGAGAUACAACAAAUACCUAUACAAUUAACGCCACAACAGCUUCAAAUGAUUCGUAUGCAAGUGCAAGGAGGAAGCAAUCAACCGAUCAUAAUUCAGGCCGCACCGAUCCAAGCACAACCACAAUUGAUCCAGGUUGCCCAGGGUGGUCAGACUCCAGUGUUUCUACAAACCAGCAGUAACGAUAACGAAUAAUUUAGACCGACUAGAGUGACGAAUGCGAAAGCCUCUCUGCAAGCAUGAAUGAGAAUACUACGUCUAAGACUAUACGACCAUGUCCAUCGGUUGCCUGAUUCGAUCCUUGAUACAAUUCCAUCGUUCUGUGGGAACUGAUCAUCCUGUAGCGUCUUUUUUUUUAUGGAAGACCAGGUCUCCUACGUUCUGAAAUUAAUCCCGACAUCCUGGUCGUUGUCACGUCACAAGUGCAUCGACGAAUCAGGCUCUCGGGCUUCUCAUCCCUCCGGAGAAGACUCCAAACUGUCUCCGGUGGAGAGACGUGGCCAGUGUAUCGUCAUUGAAGCGAAGUGAAGUGAACUGAAGUGAGGUAAAGUGAAGAAUAAAGAUAAGCGGCCAACGCAAGAUGUAAUCUGAUUCGUGCGUCGCGUUCUUCGGCCGCUGGUUGCUUCGCAUGGCUGAGCUCGGGGCUGGCUGGUGCAACUUGUAUUAUGUUUCACGUAGCUGCGGUUCUUGUCUGGCGAGUCCCGGUCCCCGAGCCUUCAACAGCUUCGAAAUCUCGAACAAUAAUUAUGCCUCGAGAUUUUACUAGACGCAGGCGACCUGGACGUGGAACUCCAUGGGUCACCUGCUUCACUCCAGGGCACCCCGUAGAAUAACGCGCAAUAAUUGCACCGUCCUGUGGCCAUAACUUAAAUCCACAUCCAGUGCUCAUCCCAAUGUUACAAGAGUAUCUAACCAUCAUUAAAAUCCAAAAGUGUUUGCUGACAAUUUCCAGUACAGGCAGGAAAUUUUUAGUUAUUACUUUCAAGUGUUUGUAAAUGUAUCGGCACUACUUAAAUUCACAACCGCUGCUCGUUUUAAUAUUAAAACCGCAACCGCCUUUAAAAUCAAACCAAACUUGUUCAGUAACAAUUCAAGUCGCAGCCAGCAUAAUUUUUCUUAUCUGAUUCAAUUCUCCCCGGGAUUAUUUAUCGGACAUAUUAGCGGAAAAAAAUAAAAAACGCCUCGAGCACGCGAGUCGGGGAUUCGCGGUUAACUCGCUUUUUACC